AUAAAGCGUCGCCCCGGCGGAGGCCGGGGCCGCCAGAAGUUCCUGCGGCUUUUGUAUCGCGAGAGCCUAUGGCGGCCCCGGCCUCCGCCGGGGCGACGAGGUGU
rnacentral:pre_miRNA from 1 species